rnacentral:tRNA from 1 species
GGAGAGAUGGCAGAGUGGACUAAUGCGCUGCUCUCGAAAAGCAGUUCUCGCUUUGUUGCGAGACGUGGGUUCGAAUCCCACUCUCUCCG